rnacentral:sRNA from 1 species
GGAAGCGGAAGAGCAGGUCUCCAGGGGAGCGAUGGCAGCCGGGGGUCUGAGCCGGUCCGAGCGCAAAGCGGCGGAGCGGGUCCGGAGGUUGCGGGAGGAGCAGCAGAGGGAGCGCCUCCGCCAGGUACGCCGCCGCCGCUCCCCGGCCCGGCCAUGCCCGGCCCGCGCCGCCGCUCACCGUCCGCCUGCCCGCAGGUGUCGCGCAUCCUGAGGAAGGCGGCGGCGGAGCGCAGCGCCGAGGAGGGCCGGCUGCUGGCCGAGAGCGCGGACCUGGUAACGGAGCUGCAGGGCCGGAGCCGGCGGCGCGAGGGCCUGAAGCGGCGGCAGGAGGAGGUGUGCGACGACCCGGAGGAGCUGCGGGGGAAGGUCCAGGAGCUGGCCAGCGCCGUCCGGAACGCCAAAUACUUGGUCGUCUACACAGGCGCGGGAAUCAGCACGGCAGCGUCUAUCCCAGACUACCGGGGCCCUAAUGGAGUGUGGACACUGCUUCAGAAAGGGAGAAGCGUUAGUGCUGCCGACCUGAGCGAGGCCGAGCCAACCCUCACCCACAUGAGCAUCACCCGUCUGCAUGAGCAGAAGCUGGUGCAGCAUGUGGUGUCUCAGAACUGUGACGGGCUCCACCUGAGGAGUGGGCUGCCACGCACGGCCAUCUCCGAGCUCCACGGGAACAUGUACAUUGAAGUGAGCAGUCCUGCAGGGACCCGGGGUCUCCAUGGGCAGGCGGGUCCCACUCACUGUGCCCUCUUGCCUCUAGGUCUGUACCUCCUGCGUUCCCAACAGGGAGUACGUGCGGGUGUUCGAUGUGACGGAGCGCACCGCCCUCCACAGACACCAGACAGGCCGGACCUGCCACAAGUGUGGGACCCAGCUGCGGGACACUAUUGUGCACUUUGGGGAGAGGGGGACGUUGGGGCAGCCUCUGAACUGGGAAGCGGCGACCGAGGCUGCCAGCAGAGCAGACACCAUCUUGUGUCUAGGGUCCAGCCUGAAG